rnacentral:rRNA from 1 species
GACGAACGCUGGCGGCGUGCUUAACACAUGCAAGUCGAGCGAACAGACCCUGCUUUUGCUCCUUUCUCGAGUGGCGCGGACGGGUGAGUCACAUGUGUAUAAUCUACCUAUCUGAGUGGGAUCAUCUCGGGAAUCCGGCGCUUACACGGUAUAAUAUAUUGAUCCGCAGGGUGCAAUGGUGAAAUACGGCUUUUGUGGCUGUUAUAGCUGGUUCCGCGCUGCAUUAGCUAGUUGGUAAGGUCACGGCUUACCAAGGCAACGAUGCGUAGCCGACCUGAGAGGGUGAUCGGCCACACUAGAACUGAGACACGGUCCAGACUCCUACGGGAGGCAGCAGUAGGGAAUCUUCCGCAAUGGGCGAAAGCCUGACGGAGCAACGCCGCGUGAGUGAUGAAGGUCUUCGGAUCGUAAAACUCUGUUAUUAGGGAAGAACAAAUGUGUAAGUAACUAAGCACGUCUUGACGGUACCUAAUCAGAAAGCCCCGGCUAACUACGUG